CAGAGGGGGCAAGCGUUGUUCGGAAUUACUGGGCGUAAAGGGCGCGUAGGCGACCUGCUAAGUCGAACGUGAAAUCCCUGGGCUCAACCCAGGAACUGCGUCCGAUACUGGUUGGCUUGAAUCCGGGAGAGGGAUGUGGAAUUCCAGGUGUAGCGGUGAAAUGCGUAGAUAUCUGGAGGAACACCGGUGGCGAAGGCGACAUCCUGGACCGGCAUUGACGCUGAGGCGCGAAAGCCAGGGGAGCAAACGGGAUUAGAUACCCCGGUAGUCCUGGCCCUAAACGAUGAAUGCUUGGUGUGGUGGGUAUCGAUCCCUACCGUGCCGAAGCUAACGCAUUAAGCAUUCCGCCUGGGGAGUACGGUCGCAAGGCUG
rnacentral:rRNA from 1 species